AGAACGAACGCUGGCGGCAGGCCUCAAACAUGCAAGUCUAGGGGGUGUAGCAAUACAUCACCGGCGGACGGGUGCGUAACACGUGGGAAUAUACCUUUUGGUUCGGAACAACGCAGGGAAACUUGCGCUAAUACCGAAUGUGCCCUUACGGGGAAAGAUUUAUCGCCAAAGGAUUAGCCCGCGUAGGAUUAGCUAGUUGGUGAGGUAAUGACUCACCAAGGCUCCGAUCCUUAGCUGUUCUGAGAGGAAGAUCAGCCACACUGGGACUGAGACACGGCCCAGACUCCUACGGGAGGCAGCAGUUGGGAAUCUUGGACAAUGGGGAAACCCUGAUCCAGCCAUGCCGCGUGAGUGAUGAAGGCCUUCGGGUUGUAAAACUCUUUCGACGGGACGAUAAUGACGGUACCCGUAGAAGAAGCUCCGGCUAACUUCGUGCCAGCAGCCGC
rnacentral:rRNA from 1 species